UACGUAGGGGGCGAGCGUUGUCCGGAAUUAUUGGGCGUAAAGAGCUCGUAGGUGGCGUGUCGCGUCUGCCGUGAAAGCCCAUGGCUUAACUGUGGGUCUGCGGUGGAUACGGGCAGGCUGGAGGCUGGUAGGGGCAAGCGGAAUUCCUGGUGUAGCGGUGAAAUGCGCAGAUAUCAGGAGGAACACCGGUGGCGAAGGCGGCUUGCUGGGCCAGUUCUGACGCUGAGGAGCGAAAGCGUGGGGAGCGAACAGG
rnacentral:rRNA from 1 species